UUUUGCAAAUAACACAGUUUCAAUUCUUCAUUUGCACCCUUUGUAUGUUUUAUUUGUGUAUUUCCUCUUGAAUUCUCUAAUUACUAGGUACAAGAUUCUAUGUGUGUCUGUUUGGGUCAGCUAUUGCUGUUGUUGAGUAGGAAAAAUAAUUUUUCUCCUGAGCCCCUUAUAGUUCUUAGCUAGAACACCGCUAACAAAAAGCAGAUUAAGAGGAGAAAAACAAGUUUAUUCAUGCUUGCAGAGCACAUCAUGUGGGAGAAUCCUGCCUGAAAAGUAAUUCAAAGCAGUUAUUUAGAACUCUGACUUAAAUUAUUAACAGCAUCUUCAACAAAGAACAAUAAAUUUGUGGAGAAAUGACAGGACAAAGGAAAGUGGUUUUAGCCUUCCACAGGUGGGAAACUGUGGGAAGGGAAUAUAUGGGGAGAAACUAAUGGAAUGAGGUUUGUUUGCAGAUUCUCUGGUGCCUUCUCUCCAGAAAUCAAUUCAUCAAUGAGUUGCUAAGUUAUCUCCAGUAAAGGAGAAUUUACAUCCUGUCUUUGGGCAGAACAGCGGGGGAUAGAGAGAGAUUUUCCUCUCUUUGUUGCUAUUCAAUUGCCUUCAGCUCAAAAAUAAUUUUUAUGUCUAGGAAACAUUUUUGGGGUAAAAUAUUCUGGUUUUCUUCUCUGUGUAACAAACUAUUCUAAAAUCUAGUGGUCCUUCAGUUUGGGGAGAAGAAAAAGUUCUGGAGAUAGAUGGUGGUGAUUGUUAUAAAACAAUGUGAGUUUACUUAAUGCCACUGAAAUGUACACUUAAAAAUGACUAAAAUGGUAAAUUUAAUGUUAUGUACAUUUUACUACAAUAACAGAUCACUUAGUGAUGUAACAACAAUUUGUUGGUGGUAUAUCUUAUGACUCUGGCAUUAGGAAUUUAUUCAAAGCACAGCAAAUACAGGUCUUUGAUGUCUGGGGCCCAGCUGGGAUGACUCAGAUGGUUGGGGGUUAGAACAGCUAAGGGCUGGCUGGACAUCUCUCUCUUCUCUCCACACAAGCCCCUCUAGGUGGCUAACUUGGAUUUUUUCAUAGCAUAGCGGUCACAGGGUAGUUGGACUUCUUACAUGGCAUCUCAGGUCAACCAAAAAUCAAAAUGAAAGCUGACAGUCCUUACAGAUUUGUCCCUGAAGGAGUAUGAUGUCAAUUCCACUGUACUUGAUUGAUCUAAGCAGUCAAGGGGAAGGAAGAAGACCUACCUCUCAAUGGGAAGAAUAACAAAGAACUACAGCCAUCUCUCAUCAACCACAAUGUCCAUUUAGAUGAAGCUUUUUCAGUUCUUUUUUUAAAAAACUAUAGUCACCUUGCUGUAUAGUAGAACUUUCGAACUUAUUCCUCCCACCUAACUGAAAUUUUGUGUCCUUUGACUGGUAUCUCUUAUUUGUUAAAAUCCUGGAUAGUCUUACUAAUGUUUGUCUGACUGAUUUAUCAGUUUAUACGAGAGCUGAGUUAAAAUUUCCCAUACUAUAUUGGUGGGUUUAUUAAUAUCUUUUGUAAUUUUGUCAAUUUUUAAGCUAAGAAGACAGGUUUAUACUCAUUUAAAAAUUUUAAAAUUUUCCUGUGAAUUGUACUUUCUCAUGUCAUAUAAUGAUGCUAUUUAUUCCCAAUAAUAAUUAUUUUCCAAGGAC
rnacentral:lncRNA from 10 species